ACUCCCUCCGUUCCAAAUUAUAAGUCAUUCCAACUUUCUUGGAGAGUCAAACAUUUUUAUGUUUGACCAAAAUUAUAGAGAAAAUUACAAAAGUUUAUGGCACCGAAUAGAUAUACUAUGAAAAUAUAUUUAAUGAAGAAACCAAUGGUACCUAUUUGAUAUCAUGAAUGUUAGCACUUUAUUGUAUAAAUUUGGUCAAACUUGAGAUGCUUUGACUCUCCAAGAAAGUUGGAAUGACUUAUAAUUUGGAACGAAGGGAGUACAUUGGCACGCCAUAUAUCUUCAACUAAAAAACAAUUAAGUGCACGCCGACGCUUAUACAUUGGCACGCCAUAUAUACAGUACAAAUAACUGUCACACAUGCUCCUCACAACGGGUCAAAUGCAUGAGCUAGCCUCAUCGCUCACGCAAGUUCGUUUCCGGUGCCCCCAAUGCAGUAAGAUAAGCAAUCGACAAUGUUCGGAGCCCG
rnacentral:lncRNA from 1 species